GACGAACGCUGGCGGCGUGCCUAAUACAUGCAAGUCGAGCGAAGUUUUUCUGGUGCUUGCACUAGAAAAACUUAGCGGCGAACGGGUGAGUAACACGUAAAGAACCUGCCUCAUAGACUGGGACAACUGUUGGAAACGAUAGCUAAUACCGGAUAACAGCAUUAACUGCAUGGUUGAUGUUUAAAAGUUGGUUUUGCUAACACUAUGAGAUGGCUUUGCGGUGCAUUAGCUAGUUGGUGGGGUAAAGGCCUACCAAGGCGACGAUGCAUAGCCGACCUGAGAGGGUGAUCGGCCACACUGGGACUGAGACACGGCCCAGACUCCUACGGGAGGCAGCAGUAGGGAAUCUUCCGCAAUGGGCGAAAGCCUGACGGAGCAACGCCGCGUGAGUGAAGAAGGAUUUCGGUUCGUAAAGCUCUGUUGUUAGGGAAGAAUGAUUGUGUAGUAACUAUACACAGUAGAGACGGUACCUAACCAGAAAGCCACGGCUAACUACGUGCCAGCAGCCGCGGUAAUACGUAGGUGGCAAGCGUUGUCCGGAAUUAUUGGGCGUAAAGCGCGCGCAGGUGGUUUAAUAAGUCUGAUGUGGAAGCCCACGGCUCAACCGUGGAGGGUCAUUGGAAACUGUUAAACUUGAGUGCAGGAGAGAAAAGUGGAAUUCCUAGUGUAGCGGUGAAAUGCGUAGAGAUUAGGAGGAACACCAGUGGCGAAGGCGGCUUUUUGGCCUGUAACUGACACUGAGGCGCGAAAGCGUGGGGGAGCAAACAGG
rnacentral:rRNA from 1 species